AAGUCGUAUAAAAGGCGAGAGAAAAGGCUACGGAAAUCAGUCGAGUGAGCAUCUGCGACACGGCAACAACUGCUGUGCACUAUUUGUCACUAAAUCGCAAUCAUCAUGAUAAACCGUGGCGUCGUGCUGCUGUUGGUUGUUGUCCUCAAAUACUACACCACCGAGGCUUCAAAGUAUUACACUACAAUUUAUGCUUCCCGAGCUGCAUCACCAAAGAGCCCGAACCCACCCCCCAGCAACGGAAACCUGCAGAAGGAAAA